AGCGAACGCUGGCGGCAGGCCUAACACAUGCCAGUCGAACGAACCUUUCGGGGUUAGUGGCGGACGGGUGAGGAACACGUGGGAACGUGCCUUUAGGUUCGGAAUAACUCAGGGAAACUUGUGCUAAUACCGAAUGUGCCCUUCGGGGGAAAGAUUUAUCGCCUUUAGAGCGGCCCGCGUCUGAUUAGCUAGUUGGGUGAGGUAAUGGCUCACCAAGGCGGCGAUCAGUAGCUGGUCUGAGAGGAUGAUCAGCCACAUUGGGACUGAGACACAGCCCAAACUCCUACGGGAGGGAGCAGUGGGGAAUCUUGCGCCAUGGGCGAAAGCCUGACGCAGCCAUGCCGGGUGAAUGAUGAAGGUCUUAGGAUUGUAAUAUUCUUUCACCGGGGACGAUAAUGACGGUACCCGGAGAAGAAGCCCCGGCUAACUUCGUG
rnacentral:rRNA from 1 species